UGCCAAAUUGUAAAUGAAAGGCAGGCAGUGCCAAACAAAAGUUUAGUUGAUAAAAAACCCUUUCAAAAAACCUCUCUAAGAUAUAAUUUAAGUUAAAAAAUGGAGAAAUCCUGAAAUCAAGUAGGAUAUUAUAGAUAGCAUGGAAAAUCAAGAGACAAAGGAAACAGGGAGAAAACUGCUAGACUAUGUCAUCCCACAGUGGAAAUCAGUAGGCGAGGGAUGUCCUUAGGGGAGUACACAAGGUUGAGGCGCUGAUAAACAGUAAUUAUCCGCUAAAGCCUUCAUGCAUCGGAGUGUUGAAAUAUAUCCUGCUACGUUGGCUUGUCCGUACGACGAUCUUAAACGGUUGACAUUAUAGUUAUCUUUCUGUUUCAUGUCAUAGACAUGUCUGUACAUAAUCAUAAUAAGGUGCAGUAAACUGCAUUAGUGAGGUGUUUCCAAUUUCUACUAACUGUGUGCCUAAUUUCCAUCUUUCACUUUCAGUUCAUGGUAUUAUAGGUCUGUUGCACUUUUGCAUGGACCUUAAUUCAUCCUGCACACUCAAUGUACAGGAUGGAUAAACCAUCCUGCUGGAGUAAUGUAGUUUUGUAUGUCUAAUAAGCUGCAAUGCAGUGCGUACACAACAAUGUAAUCUAUUGUUACAUAGUAGAUGAGCCAUCCACUAGUGAUGUAGAAGAUGUAAUCACAUUGAUGUGUGUGUCCUUAUAUUCUAUUAAAUCUGCACACCAUGCAAUAAUAUAUACCGAUUAAAUUUUUUAAA